GUCGGAUUUAGGUUGGAAGCAUGAAAUGAACGUCUUCCUUCUCGAAAUUUUACCGUCGAUUUCGCCGUGCCUAUCCCUGGAUUUUGUGGGUUGAAUCUGUGCUAAAAAGCAACUACACAUUUAUUACCAAAGGUUGCUACUUGCAGAAGGCAGUUCUUAACAAUAGUCUUUGCAACCUGGAUCUCUUAGAUCCAAAAUUUCUCAGAUCCAGAUUCCGUAAGAUUUUUGGGAGAUACCUGGUGUGACGUGGUGGCAGCAGAGUCAUUCACCAGAAAGGAAUGCUGUUGAUGUUUCAUUAUCAGUGUAAAUGAAAAAUUUCCAGUAUCAUUGUUGUAUUGUUGGAUUACUUAUUCAUUCAAGAAACGGAGAAAGCUUCGAGAUGAGUUUGGUCAUUUCUUUAUUACUAAGUGGCUAGUCAAGUGUCACAUUGUGCUGGUCACUGAUAACUUGGGUUUACAUACCAUCUUUGCCAAUUGUGUUUAGAGAUUCUUAGUUUUUUUUUGUAGUUGACAGUAAAUUUGAACAAAGAAAGAAAUUUUGUAGCAAUAUUUCUUUGCUAUGGCUAGAAUUCAAGU